UGAAGUUUUCUUUUAGAGAUUUAAGAUUUGAUCAUGGUUUAAAAUGAUUUAAAAUGGUAUUAUCUAAAUUUGAUUUACGGAGUGGACAAUGAAAAUUUAUCCCGGCAAAUUAUCGCUUGUAAAAUACUUGUUCCAGAAUAAUCGGCUAGACUUGUUAAGCUUGUACUUUAAUUGUUGUUAACUAUAAAUAAUUUUUUUAUUACUUUAAAGGUUUAAGGUAGAAUUAGAACUUUUUUAAGAGAAGGUUUAUAGUUUUAAAUUUUGUUGAACGAAUUAGAUUAGUACCUAAUUAGACAAAAAUUAAAAGAGCAGGAGUAAAGUUGUAUUUAAACUGAAAAGAUAUUGGCAGACAUUCUAAAUUAUCUUUGGAGGCUGAGUAAUAAUUGAGAACCCCCAUUAACUACUUAGUUUUUAGACUCAUGUAUGAUCGUUUAUUUUAUUCUUAAGGUUAAUAA
rnacentral:rRNA from 1 species